CUCCUGCUGCCUGAGACUCCGAGAGCCGCUCUCCCAGGCUCCCCGCUGCAGCGGCGGGGCUGCCAGGGGCGGCACACUCCAGCGCCAGCCAGAGAGCUAGCGCCGCUUGAGGCCGGCCGGGGACGAGGCGCUUUACACUGCCUGAUGGGUACUAGCAGCCCACCCCAGCCAGAUGGAGGACAAGGCCUCUCCAAGUCUCAAGGAAAUGCACAAUCCUUCCUUACCUCUGGCCUCAGAACUCUCAGCAUCUCAUUGAUUAGCAACCUCAUCUGUGGCAAAUCUAAGGAACACCUUCUACUUAAAAUUGAAGUCUUCUGGGCUGGGUGUGGUGGCUCAUUCCUGUAAUCCCAGCACUUUGGGAGGCCAAGGAGUGCGGAUCACGAAGUCAGGAGUUCGAGACCAGCCUGGCCAACAUAGUGGAACCCUGUCUCUACUAAAAAUACAAAAAUUAGCCGGGUGUGGUGGCACAUGCCUGUAGUCCCAGCUACUCGGGAGGCUGAGGCCUCUGAGCCCAAGCUAAGCCAUCAUAUCCCCUGUGACCUGCACGUACACAUCCAGAUGGCCGGUUCCUGCCUUAACUGAUGACAUUCCACCACAAAAGAAGUGAAAAUGGUCUGUUCCUGCCUUAACUGAUGACAUUGUCUUGUGAAAUUCCUUCUCCUGGCUCAUCCUGGCUCAAAAGCUCCCCCACUGAGUACCUUGUGAUCCCCACUCCUGCCCACCAGAAAACAACCCCCUUUGAGGACAUGCAUGAAAUUUGGUGCCGUGACUCAGAUCGUGACCUCCCUUGGGAGGUCCUCCUGUUCUUUGCUCCUUGAGAAAGAUCCACCUAUGGUCCUCAGACCGACCAGCCCAAGAAACAUCUCACCAAUUUCAAAUCUGGUAAGCGGCCUCUUCUUACUCUCUUCUCCAACCUCCCUCACUAUCCCUCAACCUCUUUCUCCUUUCAAUCUUGGUGCCACACUUCAAUCUCUCCCUUCUUUUAAUUUCAAUUCCCUUCAUUUUCUGGUAGAGACAAAGGAGACACGUUUUAUCCGUGGACCCAAAACUCCGGCGCCGGUCACGGACUGGGAAGGCAGCCUUCCCUUGGUGUUUAAUCAUUGCAGGGACGCCUCUCUGAUUAUUCACCCAGGUUUUAGAGGUGUCAGACCACGCAGGGACGCCUGCCUUAGUCCUUCACCCUUAGCGGCAAGUCCUGCUUUUCUAGGGGAGAGGCAAGUACCCCAACCCCUUCUCUCUGUGUCUCUACCCCUUCUCCACCUUUCUGGGGGGCAAGAAACCCGUAACCCCUUCUUCUUCACUCUUAGCAGCAAGUCCCGCUUUUCUAGAGGGGCAAGUACCCCAACUUCAUAUCUCUGCACCCCAAUCCCUUAUUUCCAUGCCCCAACCUCUUAUCUCUGUGCCCCAAUCCCUUAUUUCCACGCCCCAACCCCUUUCCUGCUUUUCUGGAAGGUAAGAACCCCCGAACCCCUUCCCUCUGUGUCUCUACUCUCUCUUUUCUCUAGGCUUGCUUCCUUCACUAUGGGCAACCUUCCACUCUCCAUUCCUCCUUCUUCUCCCUUAGCCUGUGUCCUCAAAAACUUAAAACCUCUUCAACUCACACCUGACCUAAAAUCUAAGCAUCUUAUUUUCUUCUGCAAUACCGCUUGACCCCAAUACAAACUCGACAGUAGUUCCAAACAGCCGGAAAACGGCACUUUCAAUUUUUCCAUCCUACAAGAUCUAAAUAAAUCUUGUUGUAAAGUGGGCAAAUGGUCUGAGGUGCCUGACGUCCAGGCAUUCUUUUACACGUCGGUCCCUCUCUAGUCUCUGUUCCCAAAGCAACUGUUCCCAAAUCUUCCUUCUUUCCCUCCCACCUGUCCCCUCAGUCCCAACCCCAAGCGUCGCUGAGUCUUUCUAAUCUUCCUUUUCUACAGACCCAUCUGACCUCUCCCCUCCUCCCCAGGCUGCUCCUCGCCAGGCCGAGCUAGGUCCCAAUUCUUCCUCAGCCUCCGCUCCUCCACCCUAUAAUCCUUUUAUCACCUCCCCUCCUCACACCUGGUCCGGCUUACAGUUUCUUUCUGUGACUAGCCCUCCCCCACCUGCCCAUCGGUGGCUGGAGCUAAAGGCAUAGUCAAGGUUAAUGCUUCUUUUUCUUUAUCCCAAAUCAGAUAGCAUUUAGGCUCUUUUUCAUCAAAUAUAAAAAUCCAGCCCAGUUCAUGGCUCCUUUGGCAGCAACCCUGAGACACUUUACAGCCCUAGACCCUAAAAGGUCAAAAGGCCGUCUUAUUCUCAAAAUACAUUUUAUUACCCAAUCUGCUCCCAACAUUAAAUAAAACUCCAAAAAUUAAAUUCCGGCCCUCAAACCCCACAACAGAAUUUAAUUAACCUCACCUUCAAGGUGUACAAUAAUAGAAAAAAGUUGCAAUUCCUUGCCUUCACUGUGAGACAAACCUCAGCCACGUCUCCAGCACACAAGAACUUCCAAACGCCUGAACCUCAGCGGCCAGGCAUUCCUCCAGAACCUCCUCCCCCAGGAGCUUGCUACAAGUGCCAGAAAUCUGGCCACCAGGCCAAGGAAUGCCUGCAGCCCAGGAUUCCUCCUAAGCCACGUCCCAUCUGUGCGGGACCCCACUGGAAAUUGGACUGUCCAACUCACCUGGCAGCCACUCCCAGAGCCCCUGGAACUCUGGCCCAAGGCUCUCUGACUGCUUCCCAGAUCUUCUUGGCUUAGUGGCUGAAGACUAACGCUGCCCGAUCGCCUCGGAAGCCCCCUAGACCAUCACGGACGCUGAGCUUCGGGUAACUCUCACAGUGGAGGACAGGAAUAUCAGGCCUGUGAGCCCAAGCUAAGCCAUCAUAUCCCCUGUGACCUGCACGUACACAUCCAGAUGGCCGGUUCCUGCCUUAACUGAUGACAUUCCACCACAAAAGAAGUGAAAAUGGCCUGUUCCUCCCUUAACUGAUGACAUUGUCUUGUGAAAUUCCUUCUCCUGGCCCAUCCUGGCUCAAAAGCUCCCCCACUGAAUACCUUGUGACCCCCACUCCUGCCCACCAGAGAACAAUCCCCUUUGACUGUAAUUUUCCUUUAUCUACCCAAAUCCCAUAAAACAGCCCCACCCCUAUCUCCCUUUGCUGACUCUCUUUUCGGACUCAGCCCGCCUGCAC
rnacentral:lncRNA from 1 species